rnacentral:rRNA from 1 species
CCCGCACCUGAAUAUAUAGGGUGUGUGGAGGGAACGCGGGGAAGUGAAACAUCUCAGUACCCGUAGGAAGAGAAAAUAAGAAUGAUUCCGGGAGUAGUGGCGAGCGAAACUGGAUGAGCCUAAACCGUGUGCGUGUCAAGCGUGCUGGUGUUGCGUACAUGGUGUUGUGGGGUGUGUGUGUUCGGUUCAGCAUGACCGAGACGCUGAUGAGUGCUUACGUGUAGUCGAAGCUGGUGGGAAACAGUACCGGAGUGGGUGAGAGUCCCGUAGACGAAACGCGUGGCCCCGGUGUGACACGUGUCCCCGAGUAGCACGGAACUCGUGGAAUUCCGUGUGAAUCUGCCAGGACCACCUGGUAAGGCUAAAUACUUCCUGAUGACCGAUAGCGGAUCAGUACCGUGAGGGAAUGGUGAAAAGUACCCCGGGAGGGGAGUGAAAGAGUACCUGAAACCAUGUGCUUACAAUCCGUCAGAGCACCCGUGUUGGUGUGAUGGCGUGCCUUUUGAAGAAUGAGCCUGCGAGUUAGCGGUGCGUGGCGAGGUUAACCCGAUGAAGGGUAGCCGUAGCGAAAGCGAGUCCGAAUAGGGCGAGUCCAGUCGCGUGUCCUAGACCCGAAGCGGAGUGAUCUAGCCAUGGGCAGGGUGAAGCAGCAGUAAGAUGUUGUGGAGGCCC